CCUACGGGGGGCAGCAGUGAGGGAUAUUGGUCAAUGGGGGAAACCCUGAACCAGCAACGCCGCGUGAGGGAAGACGGUUUUCGGAUUGUAAACCUCUGUCCUCUGUGAAGAUACUGACGGUAGCAGAGGAGGAAGAUCCGGCUAACUACGUGCCAGCAGCCGCGGCAAUACGUAGGGUGCGAGCGUUAAUCGGAAUUACUGGGCGUAAAGAGCCCGUAGGCGGUAGGGCAAGUCAAGGGUGAAAUCCCCGCGCUCAACGUGGGAACUGCCUUUGAAACUGGCGAACUGGAGGGUGUGAGAGGAAAGUGGAAUUCCAGGGGUAGGAGUGAAAUCCGUAGAUAUCUGGAGGAACAUCAGUGGCGAAGGCGACUAUCUGGCACAUAACUGACGCUGAGGAGCGAAAGCGUGGGUAGCAAACAGGAUUAGAUACCCGAGUAGUC
rnacentral:rRNA from 1 species